rnacentral:tRNA from 1 species
CAGCGGACUCAAAAUCCGCCGGACUUCGGUCCGUGGGGGUUCGAUUCCCCCCUUCGGCA